CCACCAGCCUGAAGGCGAAGCAGGAUCAAUUCAUUAUUACACUCAACCUGUUCAUGUUUCACUGUAAGCUCAAUUCAGUAAAAUAGAACACAUAAUAUGAAUAUAAACGGACAAGUUUAGUCAAAAGGCUAUUUUUGUCUGUAGACGUUUUCUGCCCAUGAUGUUAAAGCAAUAAAAUUCAAGAAUAUAAGUAAAACACACUGUAAGUCAGGACAUGAGAUUAGUCUGAACAAAACCAGACUUAUUAAAAGACAACAAAACUUUACUGCUCAAAAAACAGAUGAUGCAAACAGCACAGCACAACGAUCCACUUUCUUUAGUUCUGACAGGUGUAUGAGUCAACAAGGCUUUUUCCAGAUGUUUAGUGAAAGCCUUUAAAAUGUGUUGUUUUUUUGGUUUCAUCUGGUUGUGGGUUUCAUUCCCGGGCAGCUGAAACAGAGCAGACUGACUGACUGAAGGUGCUCUUCCUCAGACAACACAGACCUUUAGUCACUGUUGUUUCUAUGACUGAGUUGAUGUUAAACAAGCAUAAAUCUGCAAAUUUGUGAAGAUCUGUCCUAUUUAGAAAACCAUGCUACUUUAAUAUGUUGCAGUGAUAUAUUGGUGUCUUGUUUUUUUAAUCCAUAACCUUAAUGACAUGUUUAAGAAACAUUUUGACUGGUUUCAUUGUACUAUUAUAUGCCUGUGACUGGCUAGUUAAGCAAUAACUAAGAUGGCUAAAAAUUCUCGAAUGUAAAAGAUUAUAGAUGCCUUAAUGGACAUUUCAUACCUGAUUGAACCAAAAUUUUCCAGAUGUAGUUUGACUGGAAAAUACACUAUGUUGAAUGUUUGGUGAAACAGAGUAUAAGUCA